rnacentral:lncRNA from 1 species
UCAGCUCUCUGAUUUCUUCUCCCUUCGCCCACAGCACCCACAGUUCAGGGGAACCCCCCAAAUCCUACUCCAGCACCAUGAGUUUGGAGACAGACUCCAUAACCCACCUCAGCCCCUCAAGUUCAGGGGCAACCCCUACCAUCCAGCCGAGCCCCAGCUCCACAGAUUCAAGGAUGAUACCCUCCUCCCCACAACCAGAGACAAUCACGCACCCUAGUUCUGGCUCCCCCAGUGCAGAGCUCACCCCCUCUUCCCAUUCCACCCUCCCCAGUUCCGAAUCCCUGACCCCGCACUGGAGCCCCACUUCCCACAGCCCCGGAACGGAGCCCUUGACCUCCACUGACCAGACCUUGGAGCCCCCUGGCCCAGCUCCAGGUGACACUGGGCCCCGUGAGUUACACAGGAACCCGAGUGUGGUGGUGGUCGUGUGUUUGCUGGUGUCUCUUUUGCUCAUCGGGUCUGUGGUCAUGGCUGUGAGAUUCUGUCACCGGAAUGAGUCCAAGUUUGAGAACCUGGACGAGGUGUCCAUGGUAAGGUAGGGCUGGGCUGGGGGCUCAGCCCUGGGGCCAAGGCAUGGUUGGGGGAGCUGCUAUCCCAAGCAGGGCCAACCUGGGCUGCAGAGCCUUUUGGUGUCUGAAUGCCUCCCUGUGUGUUCCUUCCUCAGGGAUCCGUGAAUGACAGAUUGUCCUUUGCCC